UCUAGAGGUAGAAAAUAAGAUUUAGAAUUAGACUUAUCAUCAUAUAUAUGUAUGUCUUGUCUUAGAAGGUUCUUACUCAGCUUCAGCCUACAGGUUUUAAGUUUAAGUCUUAGGACUCUUAGGUCUUGUAAUUUUCAGAUUUUAUAUAAACUCAGGAACCUAACAAAAUUAACAGCCUACUAGACUCUUAAAUAUCUUAUGGAGCUUGUAGCCUUAGUUUAGAAAAUGUUAGAAAAUUAGCAAAACUUUCAUAUUAUAUGAAUAUGAGGUUGGACCAUAAAUAGAUUUAGAUUAGUGACUGUGAUUGAUGUUUUCACCCCAAAACAGGUUGAAAUGAAUAUAUAAAAAUUGAACAGAUGUUCUUAUUAAAGAAAUGUCAAGCUUUAAAAAACUGUUUGUUGUUCUUGGGAGAUUACCAUUACUGUUUGGUGUGGACAGUACUUUGAAGGGAAUUUUUAUCAAUGUCAAUCUACUGGACUUAAUGAGACACCAUACUUCAACUUCAAGAGAUUACCACGAACUCUACUCUACUGAAAAUGUGAUGCCAGAUUAUGUGCCUAGCUUUCUUUCACUAUUUUUAUGGUCUGCAUUGCUUCUUACCAUCACUCUUCUGUUGGUGAUCUUAAUUUGCAGUCCGAUCGAUUCAAUCCUUGAAGUAUACGGUUGUUUACUCGGCUUUGGUCUGCUAGCUUUUUCUUUUCAAUGCAACUAUGGCUUGGUGAACAGAAAAGAAUAUUUACAACUAUUCCAUGAGAGUAGCAAGAACAAUGCUACAACAAAUGAAAAUCAAGCCGCCACGCUGGUGUCCACUCCAUCUAUUAUCAUCAGCAUUCUUACACAACUCUUCAUUGUAUUGUCUUUGGAUCAGAUAUGCGCAGUAGGUUUGCGUAAAGUCUGUAAGGAUCUUGUUGUCAGAACGGAUAUUGCUCUCUUUAUUUCAUUAUCAUUUCCAAUUUUUUUACAUGCUUUUCUAGACAACACUUCUGAUGUUUAUAUGUGGUCCCCAUUUAUAUCUCUUAUUCUUCCACUAAUUCUUCUAGCCAUCCAUUCCUUUUCUGUAAUAUCAACAUUAUUAAGUCUAAUUAUUCCUCCUGUUAGAGACAUCAAACAGCAUAUCAGAGAAAUGGGUUUGGAUGGUGUUUUGCUCAGAGUUAUGGAAAAAGCUAACCUGGUCUGGUUGUUGAGGGUGUUCUUUUUCACUAAAGUUUCUUAUAGCAUACUAGUGUCAAAAGUACUUAGAGAAUGUACCUCUUUUGAAAAUCUCACUUGGUCAGAAGUUUGUGAAGUCUUUUGUUUGCUUGCUUUGGAAGUGCUCCACAAUAUGUGUGAAACAAUUCUUUCAGUCAUGAGUAUGGCUAGCAUAAUCAGUGUAAUAAGUGGCUGGUGCUUACGGCUUAUCUAUCAUAUCGUUGGAGCCUAUGAUGAAGAAGAAAGUCUUCAACCAGCUGUUUCUGGUUUUCUCUUUGUUCUUCUAGCCAUGCAGACAGGCAUAACAAGUAUUACUAAUGAAGCCAGACUUCAGUUGCUUUUUCAAAAUUGUGUGCUACUAUUGGUAGCCAACCAACAUUUUAUCCAAACUGUUGCGGCAGAUCUAUUACUUAAAGCUAGUAGUGAAGAUGUAGUGGUGAAAAAACAUGUCCGACCUAUGUUGCCUUAUUUACUGUUUUUUUCUUUUCCCUUUAUAGUGGUGCUGCGUCUGUGGCAAUAUCCCUUUCGACUCUCCUGGUUGCUAGCUAUAUCUGCUUUUAGUUUAGAACUCAUUAUAAAGUCCAUUAUGAGUCUGUCUGUUUAUACACUCAAUAUGCUUCAUUCCCAUACUCAGUAUUUCCAAGAGACAAUAGAGGACUGUAUUUUUUAUGUCAAAGCUGUGUGUGGAAGUUUAGAAUUUAUAUGUGGAAUUUUUCUUUUUCUAAAUGGUGCUUACAUAUUUGUUUUUGAAUCUGGAGGUAUCAUACGAUUUGUUAUGAUGAUGAUUCACUUAUACUGCAAUAUCUAUCAAACUGCAGUUAAAGCCUUGGCUACAUACAGGCUCAGGCAGUCUGCUUGGCAAAAAGUCAAUCACCUGAAGGCUGCCAGCCAGGAACAGUUAGAUGAGAACAAUGAUAUUUGUCCAAUUUGUUACCAGGAAAUGAAAGAAGCUGUAGUAAUUCAGUGUUCACAUGUCUUCCACAAACACUGCCUGCAGAAAUGGCUGUUCAUUCAGGAAACCUGCCCACUGUGUCACACUGACCUGAGGGAAGAUGCACCAGCACAAUCAAACAACACCCAAGGUGGCCUUGCCAGAUAACAGUUGUUUUCUGUCAAACACAGUUAGAUCUAUGCAAUGUUUAUUUUUUAAGAAAGAUAAAUAAGACUUUAAAUUACUUAAUAUUAUAGCUCUAAAGUAUUUAUUUAUUUCAUGUACUGGUAUCAUGAUUUAUUAUGACUGUUAUUAUUUAGUUGUAUACCAAAUAAAUAACCUGACUAUGCAUUGUUUUAGUAUACAUUUAGGUAAAUGACCUACACAAACUUUUUCAAGCACUAUCUGUUUUUAGAUAUGUUUUCAAAUCAUGUUCUUCAAAAUAUACUAUUAAUAGUCUGGUUGUUGGUGUACUAUUUGAUACAGAUGUUUAUUCAUUAGUUUUAUUCAUUAUAAGUAUAUAUUAUUCGAAUGGUUGUCUUCUAUGCUAGAGAGAUAGUAAAUAAUUAAGCAUAAUGCUUAUAAACAGCUCUAUGUUCCCCGAUAGCCUCUUCUCACACAGUAGCAUAGCUAAUCUUCAUUUAACGCACCAUAAUGCUCUGUUAUUAAUGUCUGCCUCGCUCAGUUUCCUUUGUUCUACAAUAACUUCAUUUGUUCAUGGAGUCUCCUGUCCUCCGAGGCUUUUUCUACAUUUCAAAACAACCGUAAUUGAUACCAUGUAAAUAUCUGACUGAAAUGGUUCUAAUUUAUUUUCCUGCUAGUCCCUACAUGUUGAAUGUACAGCAUUUGGUAGCCCCUGUGAAUGUGUUGUAGAAGGACUUAGUGUUCUAAAAUAAACUUUAGGUUAAGUCACAUGUUGAAAACAAAGUUGCUGUUGACAUUGUUGCCUGUGUUUCUAUAAGUCUAAAGCAUUUUGGUAUACAAUUUAUACUCAGUUAUAUCUAAAUUGAUUUAAUUUAUAUUUUGGACAUGGUAGUUUGUUUGUUAUUUUCUUUAUACAGUGUUUCAUAUUUUGUGCAUAAUUAGAUUAACCAGAGAUUGUAUUUCAAUGGAAAUAAUUUUGUCACUAUGUAUUCUAAUUAUAAUCUCAAGUUUAUGACAGUCAUAAAGAUCUUGAUUUUAUCACUUAAGUUUAUUUGUAUGUAGCACAUCUUGAUGCCAAGAAGCUGGAUAUUAAUGGAAACAUUGUUAGAUCUUUGUUGUAAUACCGGUGAUGCUUAUUUUAUCACUAGACCUGAUGAAGAGUUCUAGAAUUGUACAAGUAAACUUUAAUGAAUGAAAUAGUUUUUUUGUAAAGAAGUCAUGUUUAAUAUAGACAGACAUGAACCGUAAACAUUUAGCCAAAUUGGCAGGCCUGUAAGGUCAGUUUCAAAAUAUGCUCCGACAAAAUCAUAUACAAAGCAGUGAUUACUUGCACAUCACGUUUUGUAAUUCUGUUGGACAUGACACUUUCAGGUGUUUCAAUAAAAAAAAAAAAAUAGAUCAUCAUUUCCCCUACCAGGCUGCAGACAUCUUUAGAAAGAAUCACACUGUAAUAUAUAAUAUAUAGAUAGGUUACAUUAGUUUCCAGUGUAUUGUGGGUGGGUUUACAUUUCCAGUGUAUUGUGGGUGGGUUUACAUUUACCAUGUGCCUUACAGACUUCUAGAAAAGAUUUUCUUUUGGUUCUUUUACUGAGGUAGGAGACUUAUAUUUGAUUUUAUCAAAUGCAUCUCAUCCGUACCUCUAAACUGCUUCUUUUAAUGAAUCUGUUGAACUGACGUGAACUUUUGUGUCUAGGGAAAUGAGAAUAGAAAUCAGUUGUACAGGAUGAAUUAUGUUUGAAUGCUUUUGGUCAGUUGUAUUGUUAUUGACUGUUACGUUCAAAUGAGUAUCUUGAAACUUGUCUGUGUGUUUGUGAAGACACAAGUCACGCAUCAGUGAUUUAUUGUCAACUGUGAUCUAAAUAAACGUUUGCUCACUUCA